GCAAGUCGAACGAUCCCUUCGGGGAGAGUGGCGAAAGGGCGAGGAAUACGAUCGAAUGUACCCCGAGGUGGGGGAUAGCCUGUGGAAACGCAGGGUAAUACCCCAUGAUCUCUACGGAGCAAAGGCUUGCCGCCUUGGGAGCAGCGAUCGUCCUAUCAGGUAGUUGGUGAGGUAAAGGCUCACCAAGCCGAAGACGGGUAGCGGGUGUGAGAGCAUGACC
rnacentral:rRNA from 1 species